UACGUAGGGCGCAAGCGUUGUCCGGAAUUAUUGGGCGUAAAGAGCUCGUAGGUGGCUUGUCACGUCGGGUGUGAAAGCUUGGGGCUUAACUCCAGGUCUGCAUUCGAUACGGGCUGGCUAGAGGUAGGUAGGGGAGAACGGAAUUCCUGGUGUAGCGGUGAAAUGCGCAGAUAUCGUUUGGAACGCCAAUGGUGAAAACAGACAGCUGGGAGUGUGCUGACGCUGAGACACGAAAGCCAGGGGAGCGAACGGG
rnacentral:rRNA from 1 species